rnacentral:rRNA from 1 species
UACGGAGGGUGCGAGCGUUAAUCGGAAUUACUGGGCGUAAAGCGCACGUAGGCGGUUGGGUAAGUCGGAUGUGAAAGCCCUGGGCUUAACCUGGGAACUGCAUUCGAUACUGCCCGGCUAGAGUAUGGGAGAGGGAAGCGGAAUUUCCGGUGUAGCGGUGAAAUGCGGAGAUAUCGGAAGGAACACCAAUGGCGAAGGCAGCUUCCUGGCCCAAUACUGACGCUCAGGUGCGAAAGCGUGGGGAGCAAACAGG